GCAGAGAAAUAAAAUAUCACUUAUAUAUACCCUGGAUAUGGCAGGGAGUUUCUACCGGAAACCUAAAAUUUCCGACUAUGAGUGAGUGGACUUGUUGC
rnacentral:ncRNA from 16 species